ensembl:rRNA 5S_rRNA 5S ribosomal RNA
CAUUAUGGCCAUGCCACCCUGAAUGCAUCCAGUCUUGUCUGAUCUUGGAAGCAAAGCAGGGUCAGCACUUAGAUGGGAGACAGAAUUUAAACAUUUUUAAGCAGACAUAAACA